rnacentral:rRNA from 1 species
GACGAACGCUGGCGGCGUGCUUAACACAUGCAAGUCGAAACGGACGAGUGAGAUAAGUUUACUUAACUCACAAGUUAGUGGCGGACGGGUGAGUAACACGUGGAUAAUCUACCUGCAACACCGGGAUAACGCUGUGAAAACGGUGCUAAUACCGGAUACGUUCCCUUGUGCGCAUGUAUGAGGGAAGAAAGCUCAGGCGGUUGCAGAUGAGUCCGCGGCUGAUUAGCUAGUUGGUGAGGUAAAAGGCUCACCAAGGCGAUGAUCAGUAGCCGGCCUGAGAGGGUGAACGGCCACACUGGGACUGAGACACGGCCCAGACUCCUACGGGAGGCAGCAGUGGGGAAUCUUCCGCAAUGGGCGCAAGCCUGACGGAGCAACGCCGCGUGGGUGAAGAAGGCCUUCGGGUUGUAAAGCCCUGUCUUAUGGGAAGAAGUCAGUGACGGUACCAUAGGAGGAAGCCACGGCUAACUACGUG